UACAGAUGGAGUGCUAAUAAGGAGUAAGGACUAAGGGUUUCACAAUUCGUACGAAUUUGUUUUCUACACGAAGAUCCAUAAAAGGGACUCUUGACAUCUAUAAGAUUAUAUGAAUACUUUAGAUACCUUUCGAUGUUCUUUCAAUAAUUUUUCAGAGACAUUUUCUGAGUCUUAUAUGGCUCGAUUGUUCUUAUGUAGAUCUUCGAAGAGGUCUGAAAUUGAAACAACAAUUAAGAGAGCUCAAAACGAUCCAAAUUCUCUUUCAUUGGUUCCUGUUUAAGGUUGGGUACGCAACUAAAGAGAUUAUGCAGGCGAAGAACUUUUCUCUGGCUCCGGUGAUCCUAAUUCACUCAAUAUGAACUUUUCUCUGGCUCCGGUGAUCCUAAUUCACUCAAUAAUAUGGAAAGAAGAUGUGGACGUGGGUUGAACAAGCUAGAUCGAAAGAUGCGACUGGAUUUAGUAGAUGGCAUGUUUACUUGAGUUGAAAAUUUCGACAAGAUUGAAUUUUGCAAGUCCAAGCUGAAAACAUUCGCAGAUUGGUGUUGGGAUACAAACACCAUGGUGUCAGAUUUAUCAAUUGGGUUCUCUGAUUUUGUAUGUGUUCACAUUCUUUUUACUGUUAUAUGGUUUGUAAAAUUCCUAAUCUGGGUUUAUUGAUUGAUCAAACCAACGCUACUUCAAUUGUUCACUGCAGAGGUCAUUAUCUCCCGAAGAGAGUUCAAACCCAGCAAUCCAAUAGGUUACUGAUUUAGGCUUUGUUUAAUUUGUUAUUUAUCACCAGCGAAAAUUAAGUAUAACACAAUUUCCAGAUGUGUACUUACCUAAAGGUAAUUUAUUGUUUAACGUUCUUUUUGAUACCUGUUGAC